UUAAUUUGUUGGAUUUUCUAUUUAGGUCUUGUUCUUGUUUAUUUGCUAAAUUGUUGUUGUGUAUUUGUUGCCUUUGAGAUUCUUGCUGGAUAUUGGUGAUCAUUGAUUUAUUAUAUGCUUCAUGUUUUCAUUGUUUUCUUCUUCUGAAGGAAAAAAAAAUUCUGUUUUCAUUGUUUUGUUGAUUGUUUAUUUUGUUUCAGAAAUUAAUUUUUUGUGAUCAAUGCUCAAACUCUAAAUGCUGUUCUGUUGGUUUUUGCAGUGUUUGUUUUGUUUCAGAAAUCAAUGCUCAAACUCUGAAUGUUGUUCUUCUGUUUUUUGUUUUGUUUCAUAAAUCAAUAUUUUGUGAUCAAUGCUCAAACUCUGAAUGUUGUUCUGCUGUUUUUGUUGUUUCAGAAAUCAAUUUUUUGUGAUUAAUGCUCAUACUCUGAAUGUUGUUCUGUUUUGUUUUAAGGCUGAGUUUAGAAGAGGUGAUUGAAUUCUGAGUGUUGUUUUGUUUUUGUUUUAAAGCUGUGUGUUGUGUUCAAUUUUCAUUUUGUAGGAAAUUCUGAGGUAUAUAAGAAUUAAGAAGGAAGACUAUUUUAACGGUAUUAUUCUGUUGAUUCUGGUAUGCUACAAGCUUGAACAUAGAAUUGAAGAGAGAAACCCUUUAUUAUUUUAUCAUUGGCCUAUUUUUGGCAUUGCAUAUCAUUGUAGUUUGUUUAUUCAUAGAACUAGUUGUUUAUGAUCCCCUUUCGAAGUAAAAAAAUGCAGUGGAAGAGUGUUUAGAACCAGUUGCUUUAUUCAUUGAAUUUUUAUAGAAUCAGGUGUUUAUUAUAAAACGGUUUUUUCGGUUGAACCAUGGUUGAACCAAUGAAUUAGUGAAUCAGUAAUGAGCGGUUCGAUGACCGGUCCGGUUUUCUGAACCUCGGUUUUGAGUUCACUUCACUUCACUUUUGGAUCAGUGAAAAUGGCUCUAACCGUCAAGCUGCCAAUACGGUUCCCAAUUUCCGCGCCAAUUAUCGACCCGUAUCCGACCCAUGAACCGACCCAAAUAUCCACAGAGGUCAGAUUCUCUCGUUGGAACAACGCCAAUGCCGCCAAGUUCAACGAGCGCCGGCGAACCCAGCAGGAAAUCGAGGAUGAGAUACGCCGCACGCGCCGCUUCGACUCUGCCGACAAAAUCGCCGAAACCGCCGAGACUUCCGCCGUUUCCAGCGCCACCGUUAAAACCUUCAAAUCCGCUGGGACGCCCUCCGCUCCGUCGAGGCCUUCCAUCCCCGGCAGGAAAUCGAAGUACUCCAAACCGCCGGCGGAGCCCCCGUGGGAUUCUCAUGCGGCGGUUAGGUUUUCCAGCACCCCGAAUUCGAAUCCAAGCAGGACUCAAUUGGCACCAGCAAACGUGAGAAUCGGCGACGACGGAGUCUCCUACGUGGUUGAAGGCGCACCGUUCGAGUUUCGGUACAGCUACACGGAAACGCCAGCGGCGAAGCCGGUGAAGAUUCGGGAGCCAUCGUACGUGCCGUUCGGACCAGCGACGAUGCCGCGGCCAUGGACCGGACGGGCACCGCUGCCGACGAGCAAGAAGAAGUUGAGGGAAUUCGACUCGUUCGUUCUGCCGCCGGCAGACAAGAAGGGGGUGAAGCCCGUCCAGAAGCCCGGGCCCUUUUUACCCGGAUCGGGCCCGAAACACGUGCAGUCAAAGGAAGAGUUGUUGGGGGAGCCAUUGACGAAGGAAGAGAUCAAUGCGUUGGUUGCCGGCACCGUCAAAUCUGCCCGCCAGCUCAAUAUUGGUAGAGAUGGUUUGACACAUAACAUGUUGGAGAAUAUACAUGCUCUUUGGAAACGACGGAGAGUGUGCAAGAUAAAGUGCAAAGGAGUGUGCACCGUCGACAUGGAUAAUGUGUGCCAACAGUUAGAGGAAAGGACUGGGGGAAAAAUCAUUCAUAGGAAAAGUGGUACGGUAUACCUCUUCCGGGGCAGAAACUACAACUAUAGAACACGCCAACGUUUUCCUCUGAUGCUGUGGAAACCUGUAUCUCCAGUAUAUCCUAGGUUGGUUAAGCGAGUUCCAGAAGGCCUAACACUAGAAGAAGCAACUGAAUUUCGUCGGAAGGGAAGGAACUUGGAACCGAUAUUCAAGCUGGCAAAAAAUGGUGUUUACUGUGACCUUGUAGCAAAUGUCAGAGAGGCUUUUGAAGAGUGUGAACUAGUGCGAAUAAAUUGUCAAGGACUAAAUGAAAGUGAUUAUCGAAGGAUUGGAGGAAAACUAAGGGAUCUUGUUCCAUGCAUAUUGCUCUCAUUUGAGAAUGAACACAUACUUAUGUGGAGGGGAAAAAAGUGGAGGUCCUCUUUCCCAGGUCUCGAAGAUGAUUACAAUGAAGCCAAUAAAAUUGAUGUUGACAGUGACAAUUCCAAUACACCGACUUCAGAUGCCCCAGAAUUGUCUGAAAUGCCACAGGAGAAUUCAUUAGAGCAUCUAAGCAGUGAAUCUUAUGACACUAGUAUUUCUUCGAGUUCAGAUGAUGUGAGUUUCUCUCAAGCUGAGGUGCCUUACCCUAUAGAAGAUAGCAAUCCACCUUUCUCGAUGGUUACCGAUGCUGCUUCACUUUCUAUGGGAACCUGUGAAGUUGAAACCACAGAUGAUGUCAGGGGUUCUCCACCUUCUGAUAGCACAAAAUCAAGUGUUUCUGUGCUGGAAAGUUGUGAGAAUUCUAUUGAUGGCAAGUUAGAUCCUUCUACAGAUGGGUUGCUAGAUAGUUCAAGUGCAGCUGAUGAAAGUUUAAUUUCAAUAUCAUCUGCAUCUUGCACAGAAGGAGUUAUGUUACUGUGGGAGCAAGCUGUUGAGAAAGGUAGUGCACUUGUUUUAGAUGACAGAUCUUUGGAUGCUGACAAUGUUUAUCAAACCGCAGUGGCUUUUGCCAAAUCAGCUCCCCCAGGGCCUGUUUUUAGCCGAUCUAGAAAGGUUAGGGUUCAAAAUAAUGACGAGCAAGAAGAUUCAACUUUUGAGAAAAAAGAAGUUACCACUGUUGUGAUUGAAGGUGAAAUGGAGAACACUCAGAAGAGUUCCGAAAUUUGAAGAAAAGAUUUUGAUGAGCGACAGAGGAAUGUAGUGCCACAGGGAACAAGAGUAGAUGAACUUGUGAGACUUCUGACAUGAUACCACCAAAAUUUUAUGAGAAACAGAACCAGAAUUCCUCUUCCUGCCAAUGAAGUUCCUCUUUUUCUUUCACAAGUCUUGACGAAGAAAUAAAGAAAGGGCAAAGGAAUAGACAAGUGAAUUCUCAAUAUGAACUCCAAUCAAUGGAUCAGGAGACACCUAACAGCCUUGCGGAACCAGGCAAACUUGAAGAGGCAAGAUGGGUGCUAGGGAGAGUUAGAGCCAAGAGGUAUCGAGAUUAUGGAAGCCAAAUUUCAUGCUAGGCUCUUCUGUUUGUUAGUUCUUAUUUAUCCGAACUUUUGUUGCUCAAAUGAUAGCCUACCUCCAAAUGACACACAUAUUCCUACAAAUGUGCCCUAUCCAUGCUGCAUAUUCUCCACAGCACCUCACGCACACCCUUCUGCUGAGUCAGCAAGUCAGUUACGCUGAUCCUGCCCCCACCAGAUGAUUCUUCUAAACCUGCCCCACAUUUUCCUUAACCCAUUUACCUUUUUCUUCACAUCUUAUAUCUUCAGCUGCAUACUUUCUUAUAAGGUGCAUUACAACUUAGGUUCUUAAUCUCAAAUUCUUGACCAUUUUAAACCUUAUUACGUGAUAAGAUGUUAACCUAACAUGUAUUACAUGAACAGAAAUUUUAACAGAAUAGAGGAGGAAUAUAAAUGAAAAACCAUUUAAAACAAUGAUAUAAAAUUAUAUACAACCCCCCCUCCCCUCUUCUCUUUUUUUCUCUCUCUUCUCAUGAUAGUACCUAGAAGGCAACAAUGAGUCUUCAAGGCUACAAAUGUCGCAAACAUUCCCUGAAGUCUCUACAUAUUAUACAGGGACAGUCCCGAAAAAACACAUAUACAUCACAGAACAAAAACAAGACACCAAAAGCACAAAAUUACCUAUAAGAUAUGUAAAAGAAAAGAAUAAUCCUAAAAAAUCUAAGAGGACACACUUCAAACAAACAGACCAUCUGAGAACAGCAUAAUUAGACACUCCCACAAAUGUUGGCCUUGUUAUUCCUGCCAAAACCUUAAAAACAUGUCAUAAUAAAUUUUUACAGUAUGGCCUCAUAGAAAUGGAGACCGCUAACAGUUCAGAUCAUUUCUUAGUGUCAUUCAUUACCGAAAUAACUGUACCCAUAAUAUUGUGAGCUUAAUUCUUGACAUUGAAAAAAAAAA